GACGAACGCUGGCGGCGUGGAUUAGGCAUGCAAGUCGAACGGUAUCAUCCUUUCGGGGGUGAGAGAGUGGCGAACUGGUGAGUAACACGUAGGUUAUCUACCCUCAAGACGGGGGACAACCCAGGGAAACUUGGGCUAAUACCGGAUGUGAGCAACUUUUAGUUGUUUGAAAGGUGGCGUAAGCUGUCGCUUGGGGAUGAGCCUGCGUCCUAUUAGUUAGUUGGUGAGGUAACGGCUCACCUAGGCAAUGAUAGGUAGGCGGCCUUAACGGGUGGUCGCCCACACUGGGAUUGAGAUACGGCCCAGACUCCUACGGGAGGCAGCAGUCGAGAAUAGUCUACAAUGGUCGGAAGACUGAUAGUGCGACGCCGCGUGAACGAUGAAUCCCUUCGGGGUGUAAAGUUCUUUUAUAUGUGAGCAGUGCUUCUUAUAUUAACAGUAUGGGGAGAGAGAUAUUAGCAUAUGAAUAAGCAACGGCUAACUCCGUG
rnacentral:rRNA from 1 species